CCACCCAGCGCCCAACAACAAUGCUGCUGCGACGGCGCAACGGCCCUUGCCCCUACCCCCUGCUGCUCCUGCUCCUGGCCCACUGCAUCUGCAUUUGGCCCGCCUCGGCGGCCCGCGAUCGCUACGCCCGCCAGAAUAAUCGCCAGCGUCACCAGGAUAUAGAUCGAGAUCGGGAUCGCGACCGGGAUCGGGAUCGAUUCCUAUACCGCAGCAGUUCGACCGCGAAUCGGCAGAGGGGCGGGGCCAACUUCGCCCUGGGACUGGGAGCCAACGGAGUCACCAUUCCCACCAGUCUGGAGGAUAAGAACAAGCACGAGUUCGUGAAGGGGAAAAUCUGCAUUGGCACCAAAUCCCGGCUGUCAGUGCCCUCCAACAAGGAGCAUCAUUACCGGAACCUCAGGGAUCGGUACACGAACUGCACGUAUGUGGACGGCAACCUGGAGCUGACUUGGCUGCCCAACGAGAAUUUGGACCUGAGCUUCCUGGACAACAUUCGGGAGGUCACCGGCUAUAUACUGAUCAGCCAUGUGGACGUCAAGCAAGUGGUGUUUCCAAAACUGCAAAUCAUUCGCGGACGCACAUUGUUCAGUUUGUCCGUGGAGGAGGAGAAGUACGCCUUGUUCGUCACUUACUCAAAAAUGUACACGCUGGAGAUUCCCGAUCUACGCGACGUCUUGAAUGGCCAGGUGGGCUUCCACAACAACUACAACCUCUGCCACAUGCGGACGAUCCAGUGGUCGGAGAUUGUAUCCAACGGCACGGAUGCGUACUACAACUACGACUUUACGGCUCCGGAGCGCGAGUGUCCCAAGUGCCACGAGACCUGCACCCACGGAUGUUGGGGCGAGGGUCCCAAGAACUGCCAGAAGUUCAGCAAACUGACCUGCUCGCCCCAGUGUGCCGGAGGUCGCUGCUACGGACCCAAGCCACGGGAGUGCUGCCACCUCUUCUGCGCCGGAGGAUGCACUGGGCCGACGCAGAAGGAUUGCAUCGCCUGCAAGAACUUCUUCGACGAGGGCGUCUGCAAGGAGGAGUGCCCGCCCAUGCGCAAGUACAACCCCACCACCUAUGUCCUAGAGGCGAAUCCCGAGGGAAAGUAUGCCUAUGGCGCCACCUGCGUCAAGGAGUGCCCCGGUCACCUGCUGCGGGAUAAUGGCGCCUGUGUGCGCAGCUGUCCCCAGGACAAGAUGGACAAGGGCGGCGAGUGUGUGCCCUGCAAUGGACCGUGCCCCAAAACGUGCCCGGGCGUUACUGUCCUACAUGCGGGCAACAUUGACUCGUUCCGAAAUUGUACGGUGAUCGAUGGCAACAUACGCAUUCUGGAUCAGACCUUCUCGGGCUUCCAGGACGUCUAUGCUAACUACACGAUGGGACCGCGCUACAUACCGCUGGAUCCCGAGCGACUGGAGGUCUUCUCCACCGUGAAGGAGAUCACCGGGUAUCUGAACAUCGAGGGAACCCAUCCGCAGUUCCGAAAUCUGUCGUACUUCCGCAAUCUGGAAACCAUUCACGGCCGCCAGCUGAUGGAGAGCAUGUUUGCCGCUUUGGCCAUCGUAAAGUCCUCCCUUUACAGCCUGGAGAUGCGCAAUCUGAGGCAGAUAAGUUCCGGCAGUGUGGUCAUCCAGCACAACAGGGACCUCUGCUAUGUGAGCAAUAUCCGGUGGCCGGCCAUUCAAAAGGAGGCCGAACAGAAGGUGUGGGUCAACGAGAAUCUCAGGGCGGAUCUAUGUGAGAAAAACGGCACCAUUUGCUCGGAUCAGUGCAACGAGGACGGCUGCUGGGGAGCUGGCACGGAUCAGUGCCUUACCUGCAAGAACUUCAAUUUCAAUGGCACCUGCAUUGCCGACUGUAGUAAUAUCUCCAACGUCUACAAGUUUGAUAAUAGAACGUGCAAGAUAUGCCAUCCGGAGUGCCGGACUUGCAACGGAGCUGGAGCAGAUCACUGCCAGGAGUGCGUCCACGUGAGGGACGGCCAGCACUGUGUGUCCGAGUGCCCGAUGAACAAGUACAACGACCGUGGUGUCUGCCGUCAGUGCCACCCCACCUGCGAUGGAUGCACUGGACCCAACGACACCAUCGGCGCUGGAGCCUGUACGACCUGCAACUUGGCCAUUAUCAAUAAUGACGCCACAGUGAAACGCUGCCUGCUGAAGGACGACAAGUGCCCCGAUGGCUACUUCUGGGAGUAUGUGCAUCCGCAAGAGCCGGGUUCCCUGAAGCCACUGGCCGGCAGAGCAGUCUGCCGCAAGUGCCAUCCCCUUUGCGAGUUGUGCACCAACUACGGUUACCACGAGCAGGUGUGCUCCAAGUGCACCCACUAUAAGCGGCGGGAGCAGUGCGAGACCGAGUGUCCGACGGAUCACUACACGGAUGAGGAGCAGCGCGAGUGCUUCCAGUGCCACCCGGAGUGCAAUGGUUGCACCGGUCCGGGUGCCGACGAUUGCAAGGCGUGUCGCAACUUCAAGUUGUUUGACGCGAGUGAGACGGGUCCCUAUGUGAACUCCACGAUGUUUAAUUGCACCUCGAAGUGUCCGUUGGAGAAGCGGCAUGUGAACUAUCAGUACACGGCCAUUGGACCCUACUGCGCAGCUAGUCCGCCGAGGAGCAGCAAGAUAACUGCCAAUCUGGACGUGAACAUGAUCUUCAUCAUCACUGGCGCUGUGCUGGUGCCAACCAUCUGCAUCCUCUGCGUGGUCACCUACAUCUGUCGGCAAAAGCAAAAGGCCAAGAAGGAAACCGUCAAGAUGACCAUGGCUCUGUCCGGCUGCGAGGACUCCGAGCCGCUGCGUCCCUCGAACAUUGGAGCCAAUCUGUGCAAGCUGCGCAUUGUCAAGGAUGCCGAGCUGCGCAAGGGUGGAGUGCUCGGAAUGGGAGCCUUUGGACGAGUGUACAAGGGCGUUUGGGUGCCGGAGGGUGAGAACGUCAAGAUUCCAGUGGCCAUUAAGGAGCUGCUGAAGUCCACGGGCGCCGAGUCCAGCGAAGAGUUCCUGCGCGAAGCCUACAUCAUGGCCUCCGUGGAGCACGUGAAUCUGCUGAAGCUCCUGGCCGUCUGCAUGUCCUCGCAAAUGAUGCUUAUCACGCAACUAAUGCCGCUGGGCUGCCUGCUGGACUAUGUGCGGAAUAACCGGGACAAAAUCGGCUCCAAGGCUCUGCUCAACUGGAGCACCCAAAUCGCCAAGGGCAUGUCGUAUCUGGAGGAGAAGCGACUGGUCCACAGGGACUUGGCUGCCCGCAAUGUCCUGGUGCAGACUCCCUCGCUGGUGAAGAUCACCGACUUUGGGCUGGCCAAGUUGCUGAGCAGCGAUUCCAAUGAGUACAAGGCGGCUGGCGGCAAGAUGCCCAUCAAAUGGUUGGCACUGGAGUGCAUCCGUAACCGCGUGUUCACCAGCAAGUCCGAUGUCUGGGCCUUUGGUGUGACCAUUUGGGAACUGCUGACCUUUGGCCAGCGACCCCACGAGAACAUUCCCGCUAAGGAUAUACCCGAUCUGAUUGAAGUCGGUCUAAAGCUGGAGCAGCCGGAGAUUUGUUCGCUGGACAUUUACUGCACACUGCUCUCGUGCUGGCACUUGGAUGCCGCCAUGCGCCCAACCUUCAAGCAACUUACCACCGUCUUUGCCGAGUUCGCCAGAGAUCCGGGUCGCUAUCUGGCCAUUCCCGGGGAUAAGUUUACCCGGCUGCCGGCCUACACGAGUCAGGAUGAGAAGGAUCUCAUCCGAAAGCUGGCACCCACCACCGAUGGGUCCGAGGCCAUUGUGGAACCCGAUGACUAUCUGCAACCCAAGGCGGCACCUGGUCCUAGUCACAGAACCGACUGCACGGAUGAGAUACCCAAGCUGAACCGCUACUGCAAGGAUCCCAGCAACAAGAAUUCGAGUGGCGGAGACGAUGAGACGGAUUCGAGUGCCCGGGAAGUGGGCGUGGGUAACCUGCGCCUGGAUCUACCAGUCGAUGAGGAUGAUUAUCUGAUGCCCACUUGCCAACCGGGGCCUAACAACAACAAUAACACGAAUAAUCCCAACCAAAACAACAUGGCAGCUGUGGGCGUGGCUGCCGGCUACAUGGAUCUCAUCGGAGUGCCCGUUAGCGUGGACAAUCCGGAGUAUCUGCUGAAUGCGCAGACACUGGGUGUUGGGGAGUCACCGAUACCCACCCAGACCAUCGGGAUCCCGGUGUUGGGAGUCCCGGGCACCAUGGAGGUCAAGGUGCCAAUGCCAGGCAGUGAGCCAACAAGCUCCGACCACGAGUACUACAAUGAUACCCAAAGGGAGCUGCAGCCACUGCAUCGAAACCGCAACACGGAGACGAGGGUGUAGGUGUUGCUCCAUUGAAGUAGGAGCAAUUGCCAAGGGAGAAGCAGAAUCUUGCCAAGUGCCUUUGGAAGCCAUGCGGAUAUGCCUUUGCUGGCUGUUAUCUUAGAUAGGAGCCCGUGCGCCUGUACAGAGCCUAGACCGACCCAUAGAUUUGUAUAUUAGUACCGCUAUUACUCUCUAGUGUACUUAGCCAGUCCCCCCGCAUCUUUGUGUAUACUUCUCUAUCCUAGCCCGUAAGCCAGUAGUCAGCAGGGAUCGUCGUCGCGGUCCUGCGCUUGUAGAAUCCAUGUAAUUACGAGAACAAAACACCGAUAGUGCAUUUCUUAGACGCCUCCGCCAUGCCAAACUCGAAGAGAUCCCAACCGGAUCGGCUCCGCCGGAGGGCGCCCACUAAGCUAAGCCGAUGUCCAGUUCCCUCGGGCGUCAAUUACUUCUUGUACUUGUAGGUAGUAGUAGUCGUCUCUUUUAGCGCCUAGUUUCCAACUGUGAUAUAGUUUGUAGGACUCGACCUAAGGACUUCUAACACGAUGAACAAAUCGAACGACUCGACACAGUUAAGCGAAUGAAAAUAGUAGCAAAGUACCGAUCUUAUGCAGUUUUAGGCCAAGUUUCAAAUCCCAUUCGAUAUAUCAAUUAAGUUUGA
rnacentral:misc_RNA from 1 species